GGGGGGGGCAAGCGUUGUUCGGAAUUACUGGGCGUAAAGGGCUCGUAGGCGGCCAACUAAGUCAGACGUGAAAUCCCUCGGCUUAACCGGGGAACUGCGUCUGAUACUGGAUGGCUUGAGUUUGGGAGAGGGAUGCGGAAUUCCAGGUGUAGCGGUGAAAUGCGUAGAUAUCUGGAGGAACACCGGUGGCGAAGGCGGCAUCCUGGACCAACACUGACGCUGAUGAGCGAAAGCCAGGGGAGCAAACGGGAUUAGAUACCCCGGUAGUCCUGGCCCUAAACGAUGAAUGCUUGGUGUGACGGGUAUCGAUCCCUGUCGUGCCGAAGCUAACGCAUUAAGCAUUCCGCCUGGGGAGUACGGUCGCAAGGCUG
rnacentral:rRNA from 1 species